rnacentral:rRNA from 2 species
GCAGUCGACGAGUUCUGAUUAUUGAAAGGUGCUUGCAUCUUGAUUUAAUUUUGAACGAGUGGCGGACGGGUGAGUAACACGUGGGUAACCUGCCCUUAAGUGGGGGAUAACAUUUGGAAACAGAUGCUAAUACCGCAUAAAUCCAAGAACCGCAUGGUUCUUGGCUGAAAGAUGGCGUAAGCUAUCGCUUUUGGAUGGACCCGCGGCGUAUUAGCUAGUUGGUGAGGUAACGGCUCACCAAGGCAAUGAUACGUAGCCGAACUGAGAGGUUGAUCGGCCACAUUGGGACUGAGACACGGCCCAAACUCCUACGGGAGGCAGCAGUAGGGAAUCUUCCACAAUGGACGCAAGUCUGAUGGAGCAACGCCGCGUGAGUGAAGAAGGCUUUCGGGUCGUAAAACUCUGUUGUUGGAGAAGAAUGGUCGGCAGAGUAACUGUUGUCGGCGUGACGGUAUCCAACCAGAAAGCCACGGCUAACUACGUGCCAGCAGCCGCGGUAAUACGUAGGUGGCAAGCGUUAUCCGGAUUUAUUGGGCGUAAAGCGAGCGCAGGCGGUUUUUUAAGUCUGAUGUGAAAGCCCUCGGCUUAACCGAGGAAGUGCAUCGGAAACUGGAAAACUUGAGUGCAGAAGAGGACAGUGGAACUCCAUGUGUAGCGGUGAAAUGCGUAGAUAUAUGGAAGAACACCAGUGGCGAAGGCGGCUGUCUGGUCUGUAACUGACGCUGAGGCUCGAAAGCAUGGGUAGCGAACAGGAUUAGAUACCCUGGUAGUCCAUGCCGUAAACGAUGAAUGCUAGGUGUUGGAGGGUUUCCGCCCUUCAGUGCCGCAGCUAACGCAUUAAGCAUUCCGCCUGGGGAGUACGACCGCAAGGUUGAAACUCAAAGGAAUUGACGGGGGCCCGCACAAGCGGUGGAGCAUGUGGUUUAAUUCGAAGCAACGCGAAGAACCUUACCAGGUCUUGACAUCUUUUGAUCACCUGAGAGAUCAGGUUUCCCCUUCGGGGGCAAAAUGACAGGUGGUGCAUGGUUGUCGUCAGCUCGUGUCGUGAGAUGUUGGGUUAAGUCCCGCAACGAGCGCAACCCUUAUGACUAGUUGCCAGCAUUUAGUUGGGCACUCUAGUAAGACUGCCGGUGACAAACCGGAGGAAGGUGGGGAUGACGUCAAAUCAUCAUGCCCCUUAUGACCUGGGCUACACACGUGCUACAAUGGAUGGUACAACGAGUUGCGAGACCGCGAGGUCAAGCUAAUCUCUUAAAGCCAUUCUCAGUUCGGACUGUAGGCUGCAACUCGCCUACACGAAGUCGGAAUCGCUAGUAAUCGCGGAUCAGCACGCCGCGGUGAAUACGUUCCCGGGCCUUGUACACACCGCCCGUCACACCAUGAGAGUUUGUAACACCCGAAGCCGGUGGCGUAACCCUUUUAGGGAGCGAGCCGUCUAAGGUGGGACAAAUGAUUAGGGUGAAGUCGUAACAG